rnacentral:rRNA from 1 species
AUGGUUAAUGUGUCGACCUCAGUCUAUGGAUUUGUUACCUGGGGUAAAGGGUCGUUGGUGAUGUGCUGCGGCUGUAACCUGGGGGUAAAGGUCUUCCCCUUCACUCAAACUGAUCCUAGACGUUCGGUGCGGCUCCACGCCCAUGAAGGCGUCGUGCAGUGCAUGGGCCGGACUCGACCGUGUCCAAGAGGGGGAUCGGAGCAAAGGUCAUGUGUGAUCAAGAUAGACAGCUACUCAAGAAUCAUGGGGAUGGAGCGUGGCAAGUGCGUGCAAUCUGUCCCAUUCAGCGUUGGGGGUCACGACUGGGUUCUCCGGUACUACCCAAACGGCUGCGACAGCAAACAUUAUGAAGCCGGUUCCAUAUCUGUUUUCCUAGCUCUUGAUUCUGAUUCCUCCAAGGAUGUGAGGGCAAAAUUUAGAUUCGCUUUGCUCGACAAGGACGGGGAACCAGUGCGUUCAAAAGGCAAGACCGCCCGCGAACGCAUCUUCUCUAGCAAAGGUUCUGAUAAAGGUUUCAGUAAUUUUAUCAAGAAAUAUUUUCUUGAGAAUUCAGGGCAUAUAAGAAACGACAGUUUCAACAUCCAGUGCGAUGUUACCGUCAUGAAGUCUACCCGCAAAGGUAGUCGGUUUAGCUUGGUUCCUCCAAGCAACUUGCGUCAACAACUUGGUGACCUAGUGAAGAGCAUGGAUGGAGCCGACGUGACCUUUCAUGUCGGCGGGGAGAGUUUCUUGGCUCAUAGGGCCGUGCUCGCCGCUCGGCCAUCCGUGUUCAGGGCGGAGCUCUUUGGCGGCAUGAAGGAGAAUGCCGGCGGUCCAAUUGAAAUUUGUGAUAUGGAAACGGACAGGUACAACAUUGAGAGGCUGAAGCUGAUAUGCGAAGAGAAGUUGUGCGAGCUCAUCAACUCUGACAUCGUGGCGCCAAGUUUGGCUCUAGCUGAGCAGCACAGUUUCGAUACAAUUAAGAAAGCUUGCUUUAAGUUCCUCGCUUCCCCUUCUAAUUUGAAGGCGAUGAUGGCAAGCGAUGGUUACGAGCAUCUGAAGAAUAGCUGCCCAUAUGUUCUCAAGGAGCUGGCUGCUAGCUUCCUGCCUGACGAGCUGAAAGCGGCCAAAGAUAUUAUCAUGACAAUUUAG